CACUCCUACGGGAGGCAGCAGUGGGGAAUAUUGGACAAUGGGCGCAAGCCUGAUCCAGCCAUGCCGCGUGAGUGAUGAAGGCCCUAGGGUUGUAAAGCUCUUUCACCGGUGAAGAUAAUGACGGUAACCGGAGAAGAAGCCCCGGCUAACUUCGUGCCAGCAGCCGCGGUAAUACGAAGGGGGCUAGCGUUGUUCGGAUUUACUGGGCGUAAAGCGCACGUAGGCGGACUAUUAAGUCAGGGGUGAAAUCCCGGGGCUCAACCCCGGAACUGCCUUUGAUACUGGUAGUCUUGAAUUCGAGAGAGGUGAGUGGAAUUCCGAGUGUAGAGGUGAAAUUCGUAGAUAUUCGGAGGAACACCAGUGGCGAAGGCGGCUCACUGGCUCGAUACUGACGCUGAGGUGCGAAAGCGUGGGGAGCAAACAGGAUUAGAAACCCCGGUAGUCCC
rnacentral:rRNA from 1 species